GGGGAGCUUUACAUGCAGUCGAGGGGCAGCACGGUGUAGCAUACAUNUGGUGGCGACCGGCGCACGGGUGAGUAACGCGUAUGCAACCUACCUAUCAGAGGGGAAUAACCCGGCGAAAGUCGGACUAAUACCGCAUAAAACAGGGGUUCCACAUGGAAAUAUUUGUUAAAGAAUAAUCGCUGAUAGAUGGGCAUGCGUUCCAUUAGAUAGUUGGUGAGGUAACGGCUCACCAAGUCCACGAUGGAUAGGGGUUCUGAGAGGAAGGUCCCCCACACUGGUACUGAGACACGGACCAGACUCCUACGGGAGGCAGCAGUGAGGAAUAUUGGUCAAUGGGCGUGAGCCUGAACCAGCCAAGUCGCGUGAAGGAUGAAGGAUCUAUGGUUUGUAAACUUCUUUUAUAUGGGGAUAAAGUGAGGAACGUGUUCCUUUUUGUAUGUACCAUAUGAAUAAGCGUCGGCUAACUCCGUGCCAGCAGCCGCGGUAAUACGGAGGAUGCGAGCGUUAUCCGGAUUUAUUGGGUUUAAAGGGUGCGUAGGUGGUUAAUUAAGUCAGCGGUGAAAGUUUGUGGCUCAACCAUAAAAUUGCCGUUGAAACUGGUUGACUUGAGUAUAUUUGAGGUAGGCGGAAUGCGUGGUGUAGCGGUGAAAUGCAUAGAUAUCACGCAGAACUCCGAUUGCGAAGGCAGCUUACUAUACUAUAACUGACACUGAAGCACGAAAGCGUGGGGAUCAAACAGGAUUAGAUACC
rnacentral:rRNA from 1 species